ACCUCCAGCAAUGGGCAAAGAGACACCUUGUAGGUGGUGGUGUUCUUACGUCAGUCAGGGGCAGAGCAGAUGGUCGUCCUUUGUUCAUCCUGGCUUGGUAGGCACAGCUGUCUUGUGCCUAGAACGCAUAA
ensembl:snoRNA LOC120098374 small nucleolar RNA SNORA48